rnacentral:rRNA from 1 species
UACGGGGGGGCAAGCGUUGUUCGGAAUUACUGGGCGUAAAGGGCUCGUAGGCGGCCAACUAAGUCAGACGUGAAAUCCCUCGGCUUAACCGGGGAACUGCGUCUGAUACUGGAUGGCUUGAGUUUGGGAGAGGGACGCGGAAUUCCAGGUGUAGCGGUGAAAUGCGUAGAUAUCUGGAGGAACACCGGUGGCGAAGGCGGCGUCCUGGACCAACACUGACACUGAGGAGCGAAAGCCAGGGGAGCAAACGGG